AACCUGUAUCCGAACUGUCACCGUAAGGUGCGCGUGCCCGCGAGGGCUAGGAUUCAGGUUUCAU
rfam:Elusimicrobia bacterium GWA2_62_23 gwa2_scaffold_899, whole genome shotgun sequence.